GACGAACGCUGGCGGCGUGCUUUACACAUGCAAGUCGAGCGAGGAUGCCCGCAAGGGUAAUUCGAGCGGCGGACGGGUGAGUAACACGUGGAUAACCUGCCCUGAGGUGGGGAACAACCGAGGGGAAACUCUGGCUAAUACCGCAUGACACCGAGAGGUCAAAGGGGGCUCGCAAGAGCUCUCGCCACAGGGAGGGGUCCGCGUCCGAUUAGCUAGUUGGUAGGUAAUGGCCACAAGGCGACGAUCGGUAGCCGGCCUGAGAGGGUGAUCGGCCACACUGGAACUGAGACACGGUCCAGACUCCGUACGGGAGGC
rnacentral:rRNA from 1 species